UCCGGUUUGUCACCGGCAGUCCCCUUAGAGUGCCCAACUGAAUGAUGGCAACUAAGGGCGAGGGUUGCGCUCGUUGCGGGACUUAACCCAACAUCUCACGACACGAGCUGACGACAGCCAUGCAGCACCUGUGUUCCCGCCAGCCGAACUGAAGGAUUCCAUCUCUGGUAUCCAUACGGGACAUGUCAAAGGUUGGUAAGGUUCUUCGCGUUGCUUCGAAUUAAACAACAUGCUCCACCGCUUGUGCGGGCCCCCGUCAAUUCAUUUGAGUUUUAACCUUGCGGCCGUACUCCCCAGGCGGAGAACUUAUCGCGUUAGCUUCGCCACUAAACCCUCAAGGGGUCCAACGGCUAGUUCUCAUCGUUUACGGCGUGGACUAC
rnacentral:misc_RNA from 1 species